rnacentral:lncRNA from 1 species
GGAAAAAGCAAAGAGAGGAGAGCAAAAAGGAUGGAGGGAAAGGUGAAACUCUAGCCAGGAGCACAGCCGGAGCCCCACAUCAGUAGAAUCCUGGAGGAUAUCCUCUGCCCCUCAACACAAAGAGCUAAGCCUGUUUUCUGUGAUCCCUAAGGGUUUUCACUCAUCGCUUACUCUCGUUCCCGGGUAUGAUUAAUAGAAUCAUCAGAUUUUCCCCAGAAGUUGAGAAUUCCUAUUGAAUAAUACAGAUAAGCAUGUCAUUUUGCUGCCACCAAAGGCUUUGGUCAGAAAUGCUUUAAUUGGAUAAGAAAACUCCCUUCUGUCAAAAAUGGGGGGGGGGGGGUGGGGGAUCACAGAAAAGAGGCAAUACAAAUGAAACUAACAAAAUAAAGUGUCCGUAUGGAGUGGGAAGGGAGAAGGCAUCAAAAUUCUUGUCCCCUUAAAAUUGUCCUAAACAACGAAUUCCCCAAGAUGCAUUUGGCCAUUAGAAAUAGAAACACUCUCCCUUUAUCCUUGGAAAGGGGUUGGAGGAGAUGACCGAGGAAGAUGUUAAUAACAACAGUACCUCUCUCUGAGUGCUCCAAUCAACCCACAGUACCCAGGAUACACAGGAGCUACACCAUCAUAGUUAAGGCUCAUAACUUCCCUAGGAGGGUGGGUACCACCAUGAUCCCUGUUUUGCAGAUGAGAACAGCAAGGCGUAAAAGAGGUGAAAUGAAUUCCCAAGUCACCACACCAGUGGGUAAUAGAAAGGUUUAAAAACCAGGUUUGUCUGAUGCCAGAACUCCUGUUUCUAAUCAUUGUGACAACAGCCUUAUUUGCAUAAAUCCUCUUCCAGCGAAUAGAAUGGGCAGUUUUGGCAGGCUUAGACAAAAGACUGUCCUAAAUAUGAGGUUUUCACAUUGGUUUGUCCCAUUAUUCAGCUAACUAAAGACCCUGAUGACAGCCCUCCAGAGUAUGUACAAGAUUCUACUGCGUGACUGGGAACACAGAGGGAGAAAGGGAGAUGAACUAACAGUAAAGAAGGCGCGUUUGGUGAGAAAAAAGAAGACUAGGAGUAGAAGGAAGAAAAGAGGGGCUUCCCUUCCCCCAAAGAAUCGGUACAUUCCAACAUAUGUCAUUUCAAAUUGCCAUGGAAAUUUGAAGAAGAAAGACCAGCGUGCUACGAGAAAGAGAAACAGUGGGGAUCUAAUUUUGAUGGGGAGAGUAAAGGAAGCGGCGCUCUGAAGAAUGAAACUUGAACUGGGAGCUGACAGAUAAGGGGCAAGCAGGUGAGACCCAGGGUGAAAGAAUAUUCUAAGAAACAAGAAUAGCUUGGCCAGACCCCAAAGGCGGGAAAGUGACUGGCAUGUUCAAAGAACUGAUCUCCAUGGUUGGAAUCGAGUAAGAAGAGAGUGCUGGGUGUGUGGGCAACUAGUGCAAGGAACUUGACAGUGAAUAGGGACCAAGAACCAGUAACCACCAAGAAGUGGAGCUAGGAACUAUUUUUGUUUGGAGGAUGGGCAAGGCUGGAGGGCAUUUGAAUGUUUAAGGGGUAGUUGCAUAGAGAAGAAGAGGCUUAGAUGCAGAAAAGAGAAGGAAAUGGUGUUCUAUUAAAAGCUCCCUUGGUGACCCCACUAGGCCUACGCUUCGGAGGUGAAAUGAACACGAGCUGACAUGAUCCUUGAGGGAAACUCACCAGAAUGACAGAAUUCUGGAAGAGAAGACAGAAUAGUGGAGUGAAAGGAAAGAAGGGAAGUGAGGGAAUCCCCCAGCCUUACACCAACCCUAUUUUCUCUCCAGAUCCUCUUUCCACCUUUUCCUUCCAUCGUCAUAAUGGAAGUCCAUUGGAUGACGUAAUGCAGAUAACACAGCUGCUCAUCCGCAAGGUGAAGGAAACUAAGGAUCAGAGUGGGUGAGUCACAGGGACAGAUGGCUAUGUGCUUAGCUGUCCCUGCCCCUAUCCUACGGAACCACACGUAGGACUCUCUGAAGGGGUGCUGGGCCGAAAAGCACACCAAUUCAGCCACAGAGCCUCAGC